rnacentral:lncRNA from 1 species
GCUCCGGGAGGGCGACGGCUGGAGCACAGAGGGGGCGGGGACAUGCGCCGGCUCGGGGCGGGCCGGCCCCUCCCGCCCUUCGCCAACCGCCGCCCGCAACGGCUCAGCCGCGCGGCAGCGGCCCCGGCCGACAUGGCGCACCGCCGCCCCGACCCGGCCCAGUCCUGCAACUUCGUAGCGCGGGACAACUGCUGGAAAAAAUUAAUUGAAAGUGAAUUAGAAGCUGCAAAAAGAUGGUCUCACAAAUGGGGAUUCUUGAAAACACCUCUUGAGGAGUUGACUGAAGAUGAAAAGAAAGAAAAUACAAAGCCUAAGAUACAGCUUCCAGAACAUCUGCAGGUUCGACCUGUGACACCUGUGGAAAAAUACAUUAAGGUGAGAAAAUUAGUUUUUAAAAUUGCAGUACAGCAAUACCUGUCUUAAGAAACCACACAAGCUCUAAACAUCAGUUGUCUUGUAGAUGUGGGCCUUUAACUAAAGGU